rnacentral:rRNA from 1 species
AUUGAACGCUGGCGGCAUGCUUUACACAUGCAAGUCGAACGCGAAAGGGGGCAACCCUGAGUAGAGUGGCGCACGGGUGAGUAAUGCAACGGAACCUGUCCUGUAGCGGGGGAUAACCUAGCGAAAGCUAGGCUAAUACCGCAUUCGCCCUGAGGGGGAAGGAGGGGGAUCGCAAGACCUCCCCAUAAGGGAGGUGCCGAUGCCGGAGUAGCUAGUUGGUGGGAUAAAAGCUCACCAAGGCGACGACCCGUGGCUGGUGUGAGAGGAUGAUCAGCCACACUGGGACUGAGACACGGCCCAGACUCCUACGGGAGGAAGCAGUGGGGAAGUUUGGACAAUGGGGGCAACCCUGAUCCAGCCAUGCCGCGUGAGUGAAGAAGGCCUUCGGGUUGUAAAGCUCUUUCGGCCGGGACGAAAUCGCAUGGGUGAAUAUCCUGUGUGGAUGACGGUACCGGAAUAAGAAGCACCGGCUAACUACGUGCCAGCCGCCGCGGUAA